CCUAACGUUAGCGUAACGUUACUGUAUGGUUCUCGUUUGGUUAUGCAAGAUGAGAACAUUCUAAGAACAUUCUCAGAACAUAUCAAAACCUAUGACACACAAAAUAUUUGCCUGCAAUGGAAACAGCAACCGUUAGGCUUUUCAAAGUGUUUUUUUUCCGCAAAUUUACUUUAUAUACAUUAUGUAGUAACGUUUCCCUAACGUUCCGCGAACGUGUUGUGUUUUUCGAGUAAUCUGACGCGCAUGCGCGUAGAAUCUUCCCUAAGACAAAGAAGGACUACCAAGCUCGACGACGUACGCUCGACAACGCUGCAAAUUCCAGAAUCCCGAUAAAUCAGGCAAUUGCAUUGAUCACAUGUAAGUAGAUAGAAAGAGUGAAAUACGAAGCACGUUUUUUUGUAACAAUUUCUACCCUAUGUAACAGAGUUAAAAUACACCUUUGUUAUUUAUUAUAUUUUGUUUGUGUAUUUUAUCUCCAAAUAGUUAUCUUGUCUGCUCGUCUAUGAGAGGGCGGUUUGAUAUCUUUUUGUCCCUCCUGAGCUCCUGUAGUUCUCCUGGGUUGUGUAGCCCCUCCCUUCUCCCCUCACAGAAAAGUUCCACAUGUUGAAGGUGAGUCUUGCUCGGACGGUCCCACCGACCUUUUCCUUGUUUUUCGGUAGAAAUUAGGUCUUUAAUUAAUGAAUGUGUGUACCAAGAAUGUGAAUAUGUUUACCUGUGUUGUCCUUUAGUUUUAAGUUCAGAUUACAGGUAACAUUACAUCGCUAACAUUGGCGCCAAACGGCCGCUCUUUGUUGUAUGAGACUUGUUCAGUGUGUGCGUGCGUGCGUGUGUGAGACUUGUUAAGUGUGUGCGUGCGUGCGUGUGUGAGACUUGUUCAGUGCGUGCGUGUGUGCCUACAUGUGUCGGUAAUGAGACUUGUUCAGUGCGUGCGUGUGUGUGCCUACAUGUGUAGGUAAUGAGACUUGUUCAGUGUGUGUGUGCGUGCGUGCGUGUUUGUGGGUGCGUACGUAUGUGUGUGUGCUUACGUGCGUAGGUAACAGUGUUAUUCUGUGUGUUUAGGCGUAAGCCAAAGAAAGACGGGAUACCGACAUUGUCUGAUUGUCGCCCGCAGGUUGGAAGAAAAAUAAAUGAAGCUGAGAACAGUGGAAAAGUCUCAUUGUGCCGACCCAGAACAGUUACACUGGUGCCGUGAACCUUCGGAUCUUCAGAUCGGCUUGAUGCUCGUCGCCGCGGAUGCUGCGCUGCUGACCUGAUCUACGGUUGAUGAUUAUUGUGUGGUCGGAUCUCAAAACAGUGUGUUUGGAUGGCUCCUUCGUAUGUGGUCGUUGAGUUCCUUGGUGAACGUUCAGUCGCUGUUGUCCCAACCAUAUGGACAAAAGAUGAUGGAAAGAAUACCUUCUGCUAUUGGCCAAAGCCAAAUCCUACCCACUCCAGAAUCCGGAGAGCUGAGAUUCCUGACAAAGAAGUCUGGGAUAGGCUACCAAUUCGGGUUUUCAGGAAAACAUUGACUGAAGACUUUGACAAGGCCCUUCAAUAUGAAAAACAAGCUGAAAUGUUUUCGAGCCCAGAGGAAGAAGAAAUAUCAACCAAACGGAGCCACAUCACCCCUGAACGUUAUAGAAACGAUGAGGAAGAUGUGUUUGAUGCUGACGACGAAGAGGAAAUUCGGCCAAAAAAGAAGUGCAGAAAAGAGAAAUCACAGAUCCUCAUCCAGGCACCCCCACUGCCAGUGCUCCCACCAUUGAACUUUCCAAUCUCCAGCAAGUACCAGACCACUUCAGCCAGUACCAGCCAAUACUACACCACUCCAAGGCAUCCAGGCCGACCUCACAGCCCAGCGAGAAGCAGCACUUACAGGCUCAGUCCAGACAGGAAUCAUGCAUCUAGCUCAAGCCAGUACCAAACCACUCCAGCCAGUAUGAGUCAGUACCAGACCACUCCCAAGAAGCAGCAGGAAUGCCCUUGAAAGUGAACUUUUCCAGUUAAACAUGAAAGUUCAAAAACUAUUUGAGAACCAGGGAGAAAUUAUGCGCAUGCUGAGAGGGCUGGCAGCACAGUCUGUGGGGCCAGAAGCUGUGGAUGUUCAAGAUCUCAUUGAGAAGCCUUUCGAGACUCUUGAGCAGCUUAAGACCUUCAGUGAACAGCUCGACACUGAUCUUCUGCUCAGAAAGCAGCUGGUGAAAGCUCUUACUGCUCUUGGUGGGCAGAAUUUGGCAGACACAGUGAGGACAAUGCUGAGGAAAAUUGCCACAAACAAAGUCCUGGAGCAGCUUGGUCUCCGUGGAAAGACAGGCAAAGUGGCAUUUGAGGACUUGCCCUUUUACAGAAUAAUAAUAAGGAAUUCUAAAUUGUGCUGGUGAUUCCAGAGGCAUGCAGGGGUGUUCACAAACAGACGACCACAGCUGAAGUAGAUUGUGAGCUUGGAGAGGUCCUGAAACUGGCCACUUUUUGAAAGGGAGGUUCAAAGUUUGAGGAGAAGAGGAGGAAUUAAGAGGAAGCGACGGCGAAGAAGGGCAAAGGGAGGUGUACAAAGGAAAUGGACAGUGAGAUGAGUGACCAGAGGGGGGGGUUACCCACAUAUGCGGUCCUCUCCAAGGUUUCUCAUAGUCAUUCACAUUGACGUCCCACUGGGGUGAGUUUUCCCUUGCCCUUAUGUGGGCUUUGUACCGAGGAUGUCAUUGUGGCUUGUGCAGCCCUUUGAGACACUUGUGAUUUAGGGCUAUAUAAAUAAACAUUGCUUGAUUGAUUGAUUGAAACACUUGCAGGAAGCGACGGCGAAGAAGGGCAAAGGGAGGUGUACAAAGGAAUAGGACAGUGAUAUGAGUGACCAGGAAGCGACGGCGAAGAAGUGCAAAGGGAGGUGUACAAAGGGAAUGGACAGUGAGAUGAGUGACCAGGAAGUGAAGAAGAAGAAAACAGGGAAAGGGAAAAGAACCAAGCAAACGCCAGUGAGACCAGUGAGCAUUGAGCAGGAAGAGAACCAACAAGAAGGGGCAGGAGUACACUGACGCGCACGACCAAGACCACAGCAUUCCAUUUCUAUUGUAUUAUAAUUAUCACUAAUAAAUAAUUAUUGUUGAA